AACGAACGCUGGCGGCAUGCCUAACACAUGCAAGUCGAACGAGACCUUCGGGUCUAGUUGCGCACGGGUGCGUAACGCGUGGGAACCUUCCCUUAGGUUCGGAAUAACUCCCCGAAAGGGGUGCUAAUACCGGAUAAUGUCUUCGGACCAAAGAUUUAUCGCCUUUGGAUGGGCCCGCGUUGGAUUAGCUAGUUGGUAGGGUAAAAGCCUACCAAGGCGACGUUCCAUAGCUGGUCUGAGAGGAUGAUCAGCCACACUGGGACUGAGACACGGCCCAGACUCCUACGGGAGGCAGCAGUGGGGAAUAUUGGACAAUGGGCGAAAGCCUGAUCCAGCAAUGCCGCGUGAGUGAUGAAGGCCUUAGGGUUGUAAAGCUCUUUUACCCGGGAUGAUAAUGACAGUACCGGGAGAAUAAGCGCCGGCUAACUCCGUG
rnacentral:rRNA from 1 species